rnacentral:rRNA from 1 species
UACGUAGGCAGCGAGCGUUGUUCGGAGUUACUGGGCGUAAAGGGUGUGUAGGCGGUUCUUUAAGUUUGGUGUGAAAUCUCCCGGCUCAACCGGGAGGGUGCGCCGAAUACUGAGGGACUUGGAGUGCGGGAGAGGAAAGUGGAAUUCCUGGUGUAGCGGUGAAAUGCGUAGAUAUCAGGAGGAACACCGGUGGUGUAGACGGCUUUCUGGACCGUAACUGACGCUGAGACACGAAAGCGUGGGGAGCAAACAGG